ensembl:lncRNA
GAUCAUCUCAGGGCCCCUAUUCCUCAUAGCCCAAUUUGCCACGAGGUACCCCCAGGGAUGGAUGAGCCCCUUACAGCUGGGAGGGAGGUGGAGCCUCUGCACAUGGUGGGGUGGGUGAUAUAAAUGACGGCCGUUACCAGGCUGGGGAUGUCUGCUGUGUGAUUGUCCCAAAGCUUCCUGGGCUGAUGGGAAGCCCUGAGGAGCAUCGGGACCUGCAGAGAACCUCCUCCUGACUGAGGGAGAAACCAGCUAGAAACGUUGAGGCAGAGAGAAAAGAGAUUCCUCCACAGCACAACCUGAGGAGUAAAAGGAGCGUGGAGCAUUUAGUGUUGUUUGCCAUCCUGAGCAGAACCCCACCCUGCUUCACUUGUUACUGCAACGUGAUGGCUUGCUGCACUCCUCCCUUGUUGGACGGUGAGCAUCACCACACUGCAGGGCUUUCCUUUGCCAACACAGAACUCAUGAAGGCAGCAGAGGAGCAAGCUAAAACCUCUCUCCUCUGCAGCUUUAGUACAGAUCUCAGUAGCUCCUCCUGCAUGGGAUGAUAGCACAGCCAAGUCAGCAUGGUGUCGUCUUGCAAAUGGAUUCUGACGAUAAUCACAAUUAUUUUUCCUGCUGGGGACAAACUUCUGCAGUGGCAGUUUCAUCUAUUGAUGUUGGACCUAAUGGACCCUUGAGCACGGACAGAGCUCGGACGGAGUACAACCCACCAUCCUCAUGGCCAUCUUGAGCCAGCUCUCAGAGGGGAAUCUUUUAUAGUUAAAUGUAUAUGGCCAUGCAGUGUUAGUUACAGCUUCCUUUCAGAUGCAGAUAUACAGCAGCUUUGGUCUGGGUAAGCAUGAAGGGAGAACAGAGUACACUUGAGUUGCUUUUGUUGUGAGUUUAUAGAAAGCUUUGACCUUAUAGGGAAUAGUACAGCUUUGCUCUGUCUGUUUGCACUCUGUGUUGCUCAGUGAUGUUGCUUAUCUCUCAGCAUGCUGUUUCAUUUAUACAUGCAUUUCUAAUAAUCCUGUCCCCGUGCUUCAGUCCCUUCCCCAUGUUUCUCAUGGCUCCAGCCUCUGCACUGCUGGCAGCUGCUCUGGGUCCAAGCACCAACAUGCAGAACAACCCCAUGCUCUUGCCAUCUGCAAACACAAGCAAUAGUUUUUCUCAGAGAAAGGUCUUUGCCACUCUGAUCCAAGUAGCACUUCAUUUCCCCUGUUAGAAAUGCCUGAGAGCAAAGUGGGAAAAACUUUCCCUAAAUAACCCCGACGCUGAACAAUCAUUGAAAUGCAUAUCUCUUAUUUCACUGCUUCCCCUCCCCUCACCUGGUAAACAGUGACUUGGCCAACACCUGGUGCCUCUCUGCUCCAUCACUGGGGUGGUUGGUGCUGCUCGUGCCCUCUGGAUCCCUUAACCUGAUUUUUCCACCUGCAGCUGUAUGGCUACCAAUGGGAACCCCCCCCCCCCCCAAAACCCAGCCUGCGUGGAACAAGUGUGUUUCAUGGGGCUGGUUUUGGAGAGCCCAUUUGAGGUAUGGGAUCCCCCGAAGUCUGUUGGUUCCAGAAGGCAAAAAGUACCUCGAAGGGGGUGCACUGAUGCUUGUCCUCUUGCUGUUCCCUCUGUAGUGACUUCCUCCCCUGCAGUACUGCACAGCUGUAAGGAAGCUGUGAUGGCUCUGAGGAAGGAGUUCGGGUUCUGCAGCUGAUGUUCCCAUCUCCAGCAUAUGGAGGGGCUUAGUGCUGCUGUAGGAGCUGCUACUGUGCACCGAGGUCUGUGGAUGAACAAAGCUAAGCACAAAAAAUGAUUUAUUACAGCUCUAUGAUACAACUUUUUCUUUUUUUUGUAGAUAGUAAGGAAAGUAUGGGAUAAUGGGGGGAAAAAUCAGUUUGGUCUGGGGGAGGUAUUUCUUCAAGCUGUUCUUGGGCAGUCACUCGGUGUGCUGUUGGCUUGGGUUGUGGAGUAGGGGCUUCUCACAUGGGGCAGAGCUCACCCAUUGACAACCCCUCCAGGGCACCGUGAGCCAUCCGGUGUCCUUUUCUUACCACAGAGCAGCUGGGGUUGAGCACUUGCCCUGGUAUUCCUAGAAACCCUCCAGGAAAGCACUCCCGAAGUAGAGGGACCCCACGUCCCAUGGAUGUCACCUUAGCAGUGAUGGCACGGGAAGGGGAUGUCUGUGCUGGCACCUCUGUGACUUCAAAGGCAGGAGCUGAGAGGCUUCUCAGAGCCUCUGCUUUGUUAUUCAUCUUCCCCAGCGCUCAUAAAUUAUCAACAAACAAUCUCAGCGAUCAUGCCGGUGAGCAGGACUGGGUAAUUAUGUUUGUGGUUCAAAAUGAGGGUUGUCAAUUUUAAUUAGGGAAAGCUGAGGGCGCGGGGAAUUUUUAAUGUUACCACCUGAACUCUCGAGUGCUGCUCAGCAAAUAAUUGUAAAUGAAAAAUUAAACAGGACUUGGUAGGCAUUGCAAGGGGCAUUCCUUUUCCUCCAGUUUUAUUUUCCUUUCUUUGAGGCAAAUUGGGAUCUGGCUAUACAAUGGCCAACAGGUUUGCUGUCAGGAUGAGGAAGGAAAGCUGGGGGUGGGCGUGAGGCGCCUUGCUCCUGCAUUGUGCAGUGGGGGCACCAGCGCUCAUCCUCCCAUGGAGCACUGGUGCCAUCAAACCUCUUGUGCUAAAACCAAGGCAGAGUCGUCCCUGAAUGUCACCAGCAGCCAGAGGGGCUGUCUGUGCGACUGCUGCAUCUGAGCCAGCAAAUGUCAGCUCAUCGCAGGGAGUGGGGGUUAAGAUUUAAUCAGCAGGCCAGCAUCCUCUCUAAUUUGUUUUCCUUUAUUUAGAGAGGAUUUGCUGGGCUGCAUGUGAUCUUGUGAAUAUUUAUAGUGAGAAUUCUUUUCCUGCUGCUCCUGUGGUUAACAAGUUUGGUGCUUCCAAAGGACACUCACAAUAGGGUCAGGCCUGGAAUGGCCCCAUCCCAUCCUGGCACUGCCCUUUGAGCACCAGUAGAGCAGUGCAGGCAUGACCUUGGCUCAUCUGCACUCUGCUAGGAAGGAGUCCUCUUCCAAGUGUGCUUAGCAUCAGCAGAGCCUCAUCCAAAAUAUUCUCAAGACAGCAGAAAGUCAUUUUAAUGGGCUUAGAUGAGGCCCAAAGUGAGUCAGCUGGAGCAAAUGAACUCUCAUUCACUAAUGCAGUCUUAUAAUAGCCAGGCUGCAGAAAAGCAUUUGGCAAUUGUAGUUGUUAAGUCAUAAAAAAUAAUGAAAAAAAAAAUGCAAUUAUUUUUAAUGCUAUGCACAUCUAUUAUGGUAAGAAUAUGCUGAAUCUCUGGUUGGAAAUACUUUGGAUGGCUCGGCUGAUGGUGGUGGGGGAGAGGAGAUGGCUUACAGCAGUCUGUGGCUGGAUGGGAUCACAGCCCUCUGUAGGGUCUGGUGAUGACUGAAAUAACCCAGGGUCAGCUGCUGAGUGAAGGUCUGGGCUGCCUGUCUGCACUGUGGCACAUGGGGUACUUCUCAAUGGGUGACUCAACAGGCUGAUUCCCAGCUCAUAAAGCCAGAGGGUUUGUCCCCAUGCACAUCUGCAGAACCUCUCUGUGUGGGGCUCCAGGUGACUGCCAACAUGGAUGGGUGGCUUCCUAAACGGUGGGAAGAAAUGCAGGGAACUGUGAGCCCAACGGUGUGGGCACAGAUCUCUCUUGGAUAUUCCCUCUGAGAUCCUAAAAAGCAGGAAAGCAUUUGUGGUCUGUGGGCACAGCUUUGGCAGGGCAACCCAAACCUCAGCGAUGAAUCAUCUGAAGGCAGACCCCAGAGAAAGCAGCCUCCUUCCUUCUAGAAAACUAAGCAUCUCUCAUUGCAGUUCCUGAUUUGCAGCCAUGCCUGAGGAAUGGGGAUAUUCAUACUGAGGAAAUAUGCCACCAGCCUAUGUUGCUGCUCUGAGCUUGCUCCCAUACCACGGUUCUUGUGCCAGCUGUUUGACACUGCACAGGCUGGAAAGAGCCUUGCACGUGUGAAGCAUGCUGCUGGGAGCACCACGUCUGCAGCUGCUGCUGCAAGUUGCAGCUGAAUGUGCUUUGAGGUAUGCCGGGAUUUGGGGAUAGAGGUGCGAGUCUGGCAACAGAGCCACUUGACCCUGAGGUUGGGAGGUGGCAUUGCAGAUCCAUCUUGGAGACACGAUGAUCACCUGGUGCCUUGGCCCCUUUUUCUUCUCUUAGCUCAGUACCACCAAGCCAGCUCCUUGUAGUGGACAAUCAGCCCUGCAGGUUGUUUGGUGCCUCCAAAGAUUCUGCUCCAGAAGCCUCCUUGGUUCAGUGCCUGGCAUCACCUGCAGGGCAGAAAGUGCCAUCAUUCAGCAGACAGCGUGCAAAGUGCCAUCUGGUGCAAGUGGGCUGGGGGGGGAAUUAAAAUGUGCUCUCAGAGGAAGAAGAGGCUGCAGACACGUGUUCAUCAGCUCCUGUGUCACUAGCAGGCUGGAGGAAUGCUGGAGCACGUUUAAAGCAGCAGCUUAAUUAAAUGGUGCUGCAGUUCUCACCUUGCCUCUAACUGUCUCUAGCUGUUGGCUUAUUGCAUCUAGCCUCAUGUUCCGAAAGGGAAGAACAACCAUGCACGUAGCCAAAAAUCUAGGUUGCUGGCCAAAAGCAUCCCAGAGCAUCUGGCUUGACCUCAGAGGAAUCACCCUGCUUCUGCUGCUGACCACUCUCCGUGCCUCUGAUCUCUGCAGCUCCUUGACAUUGUCUGUGAGAGGAGAACACACAGCAAAGGCUGGUUUGCAAAGAGAGGCAGCUGCUGUCACCUCCUGCCCUGUCAGUAGCACUGGUGCAUCUGCUCCCCACCCCAGAGCAGCUUCUGUGUGAGGAUGCUGUGCUGCUUGCAGGGGAUGUCCAGCUGUGAGCAUCCUUGGGGACCAGUGAACAACACCGGGCAGCUAUGCUUCAGCACUGUCCUUCGAGGAGUUUUGGUCCUUGCUACAGCACUAUUCCCAAAGAUGAGCAUCGGGAACCACAAGCACCUUUCCCCGUCUUUUUGCAUUUGUGGGAUCUGACCUACUUUUUGUAAUUGCAGCACAACAGCCUCCCUUGUUUUCUGACUUGCAGGAGCAGCAGUGCCUUGUGCUGCAAUAAGCUGCACCUUAGCAAAUUUGCUCCAAGGAAGGAAGGCAGUUACAGGGGAGGCCGAUGGCACUGCUCACGUGGUGACCUCCCACUCCUCCAUGGAUCCCACAGCCACAUGUAUCUGUGCACCAAUGGCCAUAGCUUUCCCCGAGGGUGCAUCUGGAUUUUGGGAUGCAGGGAUGAAGCCACUUCUAUACCAUGGUUUGCAAGGGGGCACAGCUAGGAGCAUCCCCAUGGAGAAAUUUUGCUCUUCUGCUGCCCAUGCACUGUCUGAUGAGCAGCUGCUGAGAGCCAGGGAGAGGCACCCAGGAUGUGCUGUGGGCUUUGGGAGGACCAAGUUCCAACAGCAGGGGAACAGCAAUGCACACUCUUUCCCCUUGUAAAUAUUUCUUCCAAAGACACUGCAGCUGUCUGGGAUGCUCCUACACAACAGCGAGUCGUAAGUGAUGGCUUUCUUUGAGUAAUAUAGACUGGGACUCAGUUAAAUGUAUCAAAUUAACUGUCAGAAUAAUCUUCCAGGACGCGAUGAGCCCAAAGAUUAAGCAGCAUGUUAUUCUUUCUUUGUGCUUUUUUUUUUUUUAUCUUAGCAGAAGGGAUUUACUUUAGAUUCCAAAAUCCAUAUUUGAAAUGAAUUGCAAACAGUUUCUUGUAGUCUUGGCCCAUAUGAAAAGGAUUAUUACCCAAAACAACACUUCUGUCAGGGGGAAUGUAGGUUAAAGAGAAAUGGGAAUGUAAAUAAAUGUGCAGGCUUUGCAGUGCGUUCUGCAGGGGGCAUGUUUAUUUUCUCUUUUGAUUCCCCAAGCCCGGCUUCCUAUGCAAUUAAAGGGUCCAGCUCUUCCCUGCAAAACAUGCUCUCAUUUCUUUUUUGUGUCACCAGUAAAUAUUUGGGCUGAAACUGUUUAAACAUAAGCUUUCAAUAAUCUUUGUUUUGCUUUUUCUGGUUCUCUGGCUGAGACCUGGUUUGAAUUUCCAUAGACUAAAAAUACAUCAUUUUGUUUGAAGAGCUUAGAUGAUCUUGUUCAUUUUGCUGUUUAUCUAUUACCAGGAGAGCCUAAUCCUUCUCUGAUUGAUGUUCAGCGUCACGUAGUUAAGCAGCGAUACAGGCUGUGGAGCAGGGAGUUGUUAUUCUUAGCUGGGCUUUUCAGGUACCUGAGCCCACUGCUGACAUUAUGCAUCCACCACACAUUAAAUUGCAUUGCCCUAAUCAAGCGUGCUGCCAUAGGUCAGCAGCAAAAAAUGUGAAGAAAUAGAUGCACGAAGGUGAUAAAAGACAGAAAUGGCAGAGGAUAUUAGGAGGCACAGGGCAGAGGGAGAUUGGUAGCAGUCAAUCCUGAUUUUCAAGAUAAGGCCGUGACUCUCCGGCGCCAUGCCCUGCAUUAUUCAUGUGUGAACGCUGGCGGGGAAGGGCUGUGUGCACCCAACGCUUGGGUUCAGCCUUCACUCUGAUAUUUAUCCAUGUGUUUAUUUGGGGCUCUGAAUUGCAACUUCCCUUCUAGGAUGUUCUAUGCUAAACAGCUGGUGAUUUCUUUAUUUAAAGACCUUCAGGGUAAAGAAGUGGACAAGGAGAGAAAGCCCAAAGCUUUCAAAGGGUAUCUCAGUCUACUGGGUUUCUAGAUACUCGUGUCAAAGUUAGAAAGCAAUGUUAAUUACGGGCAUCUAGAAAGAGCCAUAAUUAUCUGUCAUUCAUGGUGACAAGUUGACAUCGCCCGUUUGGAAGGUUCGGCAUUACCAUUCACAAUCUUAAGAGCUUAGGCUGCAAUGAUAACUACUUCUGACAACCUCAGGAGAUGAGCUUGAUGUUUUUGAUAUAUGUAUGUGCAGGAGGGGUUGUAUGGCACACAGGUAUGUGGCUGGGCCUUCCACGGGCAAAGAGCAACCAGGUAUCUUAUCAUAGAGUCACAGGACUGUUUGAGUUGGACAGAACCUUUAAAGGCCAUCUAGUCCAACUCCCCAGCUUUUCAUGCUGAGCAACUUUGGUGUUGGAAAAGGAAGGAAAUAAUCAUGGAAAAAAAGGAAGCACCAAAGGUGGGGAGCCCCUCGUGCCCCCUGCAUAGCUUGUAUUGCAGAUUUGCCACCAUGUCCAGGGUCACAUUCAGCUCAAUGCCGUACACCUAACGGUACCGAUCUCUUCCCAGUAGCCAACAUGGAAUGCAAUAAAACUGCAGUCACUUCAUUGUGCACCUCCCUCUUGUCCCAUUCCCGUUUCACCCAGGAGCAGCGGAGCACAAACCUGCCAUCCCAUGGAGCAGUGCUGUGGGCUGCUGCUGGGUUGGGAACUGGCCAGAAGUGUGGGAGCUUCAUCCUCUGCUCCUCAAAACCUCCUGGUGACUUUUCUUUCUUGCAGGAGAAGCCCCAACUGGAAAUCCUGGUUUGAUUUUUGCAUGCUCUUGUGUGGAGCUAGGAGUUGGGCUCAGUGAUCCUUGUGGGUCCUUUCCAGCACAGGGUACUCUGUGAUCCUUGCCUAGAAAACUGGUAAAAAAACUAUCAGCCAUUGAGAGUUGCUCUGUAUAUUCCCCGUAUCUAUGUUUGCAACUGCCAUCGAAAUCUUUCUAGGAGUGUCUCAACUGAGUUAAUGGGACUGGAGGGGCAGUAAUGCCAGACCCAAAUAACAGAUGCAGCACAAGGAGCUCAGGAGUGAAGAGCACCCAUGUGCACACUGUGCAAAGCUGAGCAUGGAACGUCGGAUCUUUCUUAGCCGGGUGUUUGUUAGUUCCCUUGUCAGAUAUCAGUCUCUUAGAGAGUUGGCAUCUCUCAUCUCCUUCUUGGCUCUGUCUUCUCUGUGUGUCUGCUUAACGGAGAUGCAGAUGCUCCUGCUCGGCUCAGGGCUGUGCAGGAAUCAAGAGACCCAGAGUCUGCCACUUCUGGCCCUGCAGAGCAUUCCUGCAUGCUCUAUUCACCCACGUGCCCUACUCCCCCAUGUUCCCCCGUGGCUGAUCCCUGAGUUAUGGUGCAGGUAGCUGGCCAGCUUGGGGUUGGCCGCAUGGCUCAAGAGAUAAAGAACACAGAAUCCUUCAGCACUCGUGAUUAAUAAUGUGUCAUGAGAGGUGAGAGCCAUUUGUCUGUGGAAUUCGUUAACAGCGUCUAAUAUUAGUAAUAACAGAAACAAAUAAAGAAGGAAACUAAAAAGAAUCCCCAUCCAGACCCAAAUCCAAGAUAAAUAAUGUAAGGAGCGUCUCCUGGGAUCGUUUCUCUAUGGAUUAGAUCAAUAGCAACAUCCAAACGAAGCCAGGAGAGUGGCUCUGAGCCCAGAGCUCUGCGGUGCUGGCAGUAUCCACAGCCCUUUCAUGGUUUAUUACACAGACGUUUUCCCUGCACAUCACAAAGUUCCCUGGCUGACUAAUAUACAGCCACUGUCGAAAUAAAUAUUUUGCUAAUUUUUUCUUUCUAGAGGAGAGAUCAAGCAGUAACUCCUCAUUGCUGCCGGGAAAGAGGAUGCAAAAAGCUGAGUCUGUAACAGGUCAGGCUUACAUUAGAAACUGUGAACGCAGAUCGAAAAGGAAAUCUGCAUUCAUUCUGCCCUUUGAGUGGAUGUGAGACAUAGCGAAGUUUGGUAUGUAAAAGUAUUUUUGUAUGUAAGGAAUCACGUUUGUGGUCUGGGCACACGGAUGAAGUUGAUAAGAAUCUCUGCUGGACCUUGACAUGGGAUUUCUAACUAAUGUGAUGGAUUUCUUUGUUUGCUGUGUUUAUUUUUUGUCCUCAGCUCAACCGGUCUUGUAGUGUUUAUUGUGCAAUUCAUUAUUUAUACCUCAGCAUUCAGCUGCCCUCAUCGGAUCAGCAAAUACACAGCAGGAAAGCCCCUUCUCUAAAGAGCUUCAGCGCUUGGUGCUAAUGAGAAGACAAAGGUGCCUGCUGCUCUCCUGCACCACGUUCUGCUCACAGUAACAAGCAGCUUGUUUCCCUCUGUGGCCUGGGAGUGGAUGGGAUUUUGCCUUUCAUACCUUUUUGGCUGGAGGGUGCAGGUUGGGGCUGAAGGUGAAGGAUUCACCCAUUCUGGGAAGAGACAAAGAUUUGCGACAUCCUCCCCUUCCUGUAAAUCUUAACACAUCACUGUUUUUCUAAAACCAAAAUGAAUAUUUCAUCUAUGGAAGCUGUCAGCCGGGUGCCUGCAUGUCGAGCAACCAGAGCGACCUUGCAGUUCCCUGCAGGAAUGCUGCAGGAGGUGAGGCCAAGGAGCCAUCCUCCCAACACGUAGCCUCCACUUGGAGGACUAAAAAGGAUUGAGCUACACCUCAGACUUCUUUCUCUGUCUUACAACUUCCCAGUUUCUCUUCAGGAAGAAGCAUAGAAAUGGUUUGCCACGUUCCUGAUGAUUGCAGAAAGGGAGCAAAAUAUACAGUGAUGGUUGAAAUGGUUUAUCAUCUAGAGUGCUCCAAAGGAUAAACAACACAGAGAAUGAGAGAACUGCUGGAACUCAACCUUUUGACAGCACGUGAAAUCCCAAUAACAAUCUUGGAAAUGUGCUGAUUGAGGGAUUAGCAUGAAAGGCAUCCAGCUGGGGUGCUCUGCUCUGCUCUGGGUGGCAGCACCGGGAACCUCGAGGAAGGUCAGUAGAUCGCUCCAACUCUCGGUCCUUCCUGCUGGAAACAGCGUAAGAAGCUCCUCGUGGAGGACCAGAUGCUGUAUCUGUGCAUAUUGUGCCAGAGUAAACAGAAUAAGAAAACCCUUUUCAUUUGUUUGAGCAGCUGCCAAUCUCCAGUGCAUUUUCCACUUCAGCAUUUGCAAAGACAAACUGGCCGUGUAACUGUAUUUCUAAUGAUAGUGUGUAAUUUAAAUACCUAUUUCUAUUGCUAUUGAAACGUUACGAGCAACCUCUAAAAGUGCGAUCAGAAGGGUUACAAGUGCAGUGACAUAGAAGAAGCCCAUUGUGCCAGCCAGGCACAUUUCUCCUGGCUGCAUUACAUCUGAGAGCGGGCAGAAAAGCAACAUCGUGAAAUAAGACCUGGAGGAUCUGGCGUGGUUUCUGUUUUAAGCACUUGAAAUUCUUCAGUCGGGGAAAAAAAAAAGCACACCAAAAACACCCUGGAGGAUGAUCAAAGGUGAAUGAGAAGCUUGGCCACGGAGCAGACCCCAGUGGAGAUAGCAGUUCUUUAAGGCUUUCAAGCAGCUGACAAGAAACCAUCAAGUUCUGAGAGCUCCACUCCUAUGAAAGUCAACAGUCCUUCAAGAAAGAGGACCCAACUUGCUGGAGUGGCUUAUCUGGACCGGAGCCUACUCCUACCCAAGACCUGAAAGACCUCAGGGAAGAUGUCAGUGGAGGCAGCCAGAAGACUGGGGAGCCUCAGUGGUCUCAAAAGCAAGCCACAAGAAAACACUGUCACCUGAUGUGGGUCAUGGUUGGGCAGUAAUACCGAUGGCCAAAGUGUGGGGGUCACCGUGGGGAGGACUAGUGCUGGAGGAAGAGGUUGAGUCACGUUCUCUGGGGUUAAUUAUAUGGUGGAUGCUGAUGAACUAGGCAAAGAGCUUAAAAUCUAUAAGGAAUUUGUAAUGGGAAUUUAUCUUCAUACCUAUACUGCUAUUGAUCAAAAUGGUAGUCAGCAGAUGUUCAGACCCUAUUGAUCAGCUUGGAUAUAUUAUCGGUGGCUGUAUUCUAAAUAGAGUUCAGUGCACUAAGGGAAUUUUUUCCUUGUCUUUAUUUCUAUUUUCCUGUCACCAUGACAAUGUAUAUGUAAACAUUUCUUAUUUAAAAAUAUCAAAUAUGAGAGCAGAUUUGAAGUAUUUUGGAAUUUAAGUGCUGGGAUCAGAAUAACAUGUGUGGUGAUUUGACAUGAGCUGAAAAUAUACCCAAAGGCUCCUUUCCAGCAUGCUGACAAAACAUAUAAAUUAGCCUGGCAAGGGUCUGGCUCUCACCGGAGCACAGUGCAGAGUCCUGAUCCAGAGGAGCAGCCACUGCCCCAGAUAUGCAGUGAAUCAUCAUUUUUCUAGCAGAG